AUUGAACGCUGGCGGCAGGCCUAACACAUGCAAGUCGAACGGUAACAGGAAGCAGCUUGCUGCUUUGCUGACGAGAGGCGGACGGGUGAGUAAUGUCUGGGAAACUGCCCGAUGGAGGGGGAUAACUACUGGAAACGGUAGCUAAUACCGCAUAACGUCGCAAGACCAAAGAGGGGGACCUUAGGGCCUCUUGCCAUCGGAUGUGCCCAGAUGGGAUUAGCUAGUAGGUGGGGUAACGGCUCACCUAGGCGACGAUCCCUAGCUGGUCUGAGAGGAUGACCAGCCACACUGGAACUGAGACACGGUCCAGACUCCUACGGGAGGCAGCAGUGGGGAAUAUUGCACAAUGGGCGCAAGCCUGAUGCAGCCAUGCCGCGUGUAUGAAGAAGGCCUUCGGGUUGUAAAGUACUUUCAGCGGGGAGGAAGGGAGUAAAGUUAAUACCUUUGCUCAUUGACGUUACCCGCAGAAGAAGCACCGGCUAACUCCGUG
rnacentral:rRNA from 1 species